UACAAGAGAGUAAGUUAACAUGCUCUACUUGUUCAAGAUAGGCACACUUCAUGGAACAUGCCGGUUUACGGACUAUGGUGAACUUAGUUUAAUUGUGGUGAUCCUUCUCAAUACUUCCUUAAAAUGGACCUCUCAACAUACGUCACUACCAAGGAAAAAUUCGAAUUUCUCAAGAAAUCUUGUGGAGAAUGCACUUCAGCUAUGACUAAACUUAGUGAUCAUUUAAAAACGGCUAUUGAUUCAUGCAGGGAAUCCCCUUCAUCAGGACGAUUUGAAAUUGUCCAACAAGCUGUUAACUGAUUAAAAGAAGCUCGUUAUACAGUUUACAAACGUUAUAUCACAUUAUAUGAGAUUUGUUCCGACUCUUUAAAGGAUAAAUCACUUUCAAUGUCAUCGAAGAAACAAUAUAUUUCUUGAUAUUCAAAAAAAUAAAAAUUGACAAUCAAUGCAUACCACUUCAGAUUUAUCACGCGUAAAUACAAAUCCAACAAUUAAGAUGUUCAAAGCUGCUAAAGCAACCCCAUGAUCAAAAAUAAUAUCUUCAUCUUACUGUGGUAAAUCUUUCCCAUUUGAAGUUAUACCUUAUACCAGUGCAACUUAAUUCAUUUUUGAUCUCAAAAAUUCUCCAGGAUAAUAAGAUAGUUUUUUUGGAAGAUCGUGAUGUCAUAAUUCUAGCAGACGCUAGUAAAACAAUGCUAGCUGAAGGCAAAAUUCGGCACUUAUGAGCCCGAAAUUAAAGAUAUUAUAACGUCAGCAUUUUCCAAGGAUAUUCUACUUUCAUGGCAUGAUAUAAUUAAACUUUGUAUGAUAAAUUCUAAAUUUAACAAUAAAUAGAAACAUUACCAA
rnacentral:lncRNA from 1 species